UGCAAGUCGAACGCUUUUUCUUUCACCGGAGCUUGCUCCACCGAAAGAAAAAGAGUGGCGAACGGGUGAGUAACACGUGGGUAACCUGCCCAUCAGAAGGGGAUAACACUUGGAAACAGGUGCUAAUACCGUAUAACACUAUUUUCCGCAUGGAAGAAAGUUGAAAGGCGCUUUUGCGUCACUGAUGGAUGGACCCGCGGUGCAUUAGCUAGUUGGUGAGGUAACGGCUCACCAAGGCCACGAUGCAUAGCCGACCUGAGAGGGUGAUCGGCCACACUGGGACUGAGACACGGCCCAGACUCCUACGGGAGGCAGCAGUAGGGAAUCUUCGGCAAUGGACGAAAGUCUGACCGAGCAACGCCGCGUGAGUGAAGAAGGUUUUCGGAUCGUAAAACUCUGUUGUUAGAGAAGAACAAGGAUGAGAGUAGAACGUUCAUCCCUUGACGGUAUCUAACCAGAAAGCCACGGCUAACUACGUGCCAGCAGCCGCGGUAAUACGUAGGUGGCAAGCGUUGUCCGGAUUUAUUGGGCGUAAAGCGAGCGCAGGCGGUUUCUUAAGUCUGAUGUGAAAGCCCCCGGCUCAACCGGGGAGGGUCAUUGGAAACUGGGAGACUUGAGUGCAGAAGAGGAGAGUGGAAUUCCAUGUGUAGCGGUGAAAUGCGUAGAUAUAUGGAGGAACACCAGUGGCGAAGGCGGCUCUCUGGUCUGUAACUGACGCUGAGGCUCGAAAGCGUGGGGAGCGAACAGGAUUAGAUACCCUGGUAGUCCACGCCGUAAACGAUGAGUGCUAAGUGUUGGAGGGUUUCCGCCCUUCAGUGCUGCAGCAAACGCAUUAAGCACUCCGCCUGGGGAGUACGACCGCAAGGUUGAAACUCAAAGGAAUUGACGGGGGCCCGCACAAGCGGUGGAGCAUGUGGUUUAAUUCGAAGCAACGCGAAGAACCUUACCAGGUCUUGACAUCCUUUGACCACUCUAGAGAUAGAGCUUCCCCUUCGGGGGCAAAGUGACAGGGGGUGCAUGGUUGUCGUCAGCUCGUGUCGUGAGAUGUUGGGGUUAAGUCCCGCAACGAGCGCAACCCUUUAUUGUUAGUUGCCAUCAUUUAAGUUGGGC
rnacentral:rRNA from 1 species